UCAAUUGGUAAGGUGCUUGCCU
rnacentral:piRNA from 1 species